rnacentral:rRNA from 1 species
CCUACGGGAGGCAGCAGUGGGGAAUAUUGGACAAUGGGCGCAAGCCUGAUCCAGCAAUGCCGCGUGAGUGAUGAAGGCCUUAGGGUUGUAAAGCUCUUUUACCAGGGAUGAUAAUGACAGUACCUGGAGAAUAAGCUCCGGCCAACUCCGUGCCAGCAGCCGCGGUAAUACGGAGGGAGCUAGCGUUGUUCGGAAUUACUGGGCGUAAAGCGUACGUAGGCGGUUAUUCAAGUCAGAGGUGAAAGCCCGGGGCUCAACCCCGGAACUGCCUUUGAAACUAGGUAGCUAGAAUCUUGGAGAGGUCAGUGGAAUUCCGAGUGUAGAGGUGAAAUUCGUAGAUAUUCGGAAGAACACCAGUGGCGAAGGCGACUGACUGGACAAGUAUUGACGCUGAGGUACGAAAGCGUGGGGAGCAAACAGGAUUAGAUACCCUGGUAGUCCACGCCGUAAACGAUGAUAACUAGCUGUCCGGUCACUUGGUGACUGGGUGGCGCAGCUAACGCAUUAAGUUAUCCGCCUGGGGAGUACGGUCGCAAGNUUAAAACUCAAAGGAAUUGAACGG